rnacentral:rRNA from 1 species
GAUGAACGCUGGCGGCGUGCCUAAUACAUGCAAGUCGAGCGAACAGACGAGAAGCUUGCUCCUCUGACGUUAGCGGCGGACGGGUGAGUAACACGUGGAUAACCUACCUAUAAGACUGGGAUAACUUCGGGAAACCGGAGCUAAUACCGGAUAAUAUUUUGAACCGCAUGGUUCAAUAGUGAAAGACGGUUUUGCUGUCACUUAUAGAUGGAUCCGCGCCGCAUUAGCUAGUUGGUAAGGUAACGGCUUACCAAGGCAACGAUGCAUAGCCGACCUGAGAGGGUGAUCGGCCACACUGGAACUGAGACACGGUCCAGACUCCUACGGGAGGCAGCAGUAGGGAAUCUUCCGCAAUGGGCGAAAGCCUGACGGAGCAACGCCGCGUGAGUGAUGAAGGUCUUCGGAUCGUAAAACUCUGUUAUUAGGGAAGAACAAAUGUGUAAGUAACUGUGCACGUCUUGACGGUACCUAAUCAGAAAGCCACGGCUAACUACGUG